UAAAGCACUUUCAGUAGAGGAAGAUAAUGACGGUACCUACAAAAGAAGCACCGGCUAACUCCGUGCCAGCAGCCGCGGUAAUACGGAGGGUGCGAGCGUUAAUCGGAAUUACUGGGCGUAAAGCGUACGUAGGUGGUUUGGUAAGUCGGAUGUGAAAUCCCCGGGCUCAACCUGGGAAUUGCAUUCGAAACUGCCUCACUAGAGUCUAGCAGAGGGAUGCGGAAUUCCGGGUGUAGCGGUGAAAUGCGUAGAGAUCCGGAGGAACAUCAGUGGCGAAGGCGGCAUCCUGGGCUAAGACUGACACUGAGGUACGAAAGCGUGGGGAGCAAACAGGAUUAGAUACCCUGGUAGUCCACGCCGUAAACGAUGUCAACUAGCCGUUGGGAGGGUUAAACCUCAAAGUGGCGUAGCUAACGCGAUAAGUUGACCGCCUGGGGAGUACGCGCGCAAGCGUAAAACUCAAAGGAAAUUGACGGGGGCCCGCACAAGCGGUGGAGCGUGGUUUAAUUCGAUGCAACGCGAAGAACCUUACCUGGCCUUGACAUCCCUGAGAACUUUCUAGAGAUAGAUUGGUGCC
rnacentral:rRNA from 1 species